rnacentral:rRNA from 1 species
GAGACCCACAUGUUUAGUUGCCAUCAAGAGCCUUCGGGUUUGUUGGGAACGCUAAACAGACUGCCAUCGUACAGGUGGAGGAAGGAGUGGGCUACGGCAGGUCAGUAUGCCCCUAAUCCCCCGGGCCACACGCGGGCUGCAAUGGGAUGGACAAUGGGUUGCGACUCUGAAAGGAGAAGCCAAUCUCGAAACCAUCUCUCAGUUGGGAUUGCCGGCUGUAACCCGCCGACAUGAACGUGGAAUCCCUAGUAAUCGUGUGUCAACAUCGCACGGUGAAUAC